rnacentral:rRNA from 1 species
AACGAACGCUGGCGGCGCGCCUAACACAUGCAAGUCGCGCGGGCGGGCUUCGGCCCGCCAGCGGCGCACGGGUGAGUAACGCGUGGGAACCUGCCCCGGGGCCCGGGACAACCGCGGGAAACCGCGGCUGAUACCGGGUACGCCCCGCGGGGGAGAGGGGCCUCGGCCCCGCCCCGGGAUGGGCCCGCGUCCGAUUAGGUAGACGGCGGGGUAACGGCCCACCGUGCCUGCGAUCGGUAGCCGGUCUGAGAGGAUGAUCAGCCACACUGGGACUGAGACACGGCCCAGACUCCUACGGGAGGCAGCAGUGGGGAAUAUUGGACAAUGGGCGCAAGCCUGAUCCAGCCAUGCCGCGUGAGUGAUGAAGGCCUUAGGGUCGUAAAGCUUCUUUUGUGCGGGAAGAUAAUGACGGUACCGCAAGAAUAAGCCCCGGCUAACUUCGU